GUGUGAGUGUAAGUUUCUGUCUUCGACAGCUCCUUUUAUAUACUGAAAAUGAGUGUGGGAGUGUCCUUUCAGAACCAAUCGACACUUCCCAAAAUUUGGUAGAACCUAUACUCGCGCUUUCUUUGAGAUAAGGCAGCAAGGCUCCGCGUAAGCCCUACUCCCCACUCUACAAGUUUAUUCUUAAUAAGUAAUAGUUGAAUUUUAACAAUUUGUUGUAAUAAAAAUUCGGUUUUCCUUAAUAUCCUUUAUGCGAGGCGAAUUCACUACAUUCAUAUGUUUAAAAUUAAUUUAACUUUAUUAGAAAAAGAAAAAGGGAAAAAAAGA